GAUGAACGCUGGUGGCGUGCCUAAUACAUGCAAGUCGAGCGAACAGACGAGGAGCUUGCUCCUCUGACGUUAGCGGCGGACGGGUGAGUAACACGUGGAUAACCUACCUAUAAGACUGGGAUAACUUCGGGAAACCGGAGCUAAUACCGGAUAAUAUAUUGAACCGCAUGGUUCAAUAGUGAAAGACGGUUUUGCUGUCACUUAUAGAUGGAUCCGCGCCGCAUUAGCUAGUUGGUAAGGUAACGGCUUACCAAGGCAACGAUGCGUAGCCGACCUGAGAGGGUGAUCGGCCACACUGGAACUGAGACACGGUCCAGACUCCUACGGGAGGCAGCAGUAGGGAAUCUUCCGCAAUGGGCGAAAGCCUGACGGAGCAACGCCGCGUGAGUGAUGAAGGUCUUCGGAUCGUAAAACUCUGUUAUUAGGGAAGAACAAAUGUGUAAGUAACUAUGCACGUAUUGACGGUACCUAAUCAGAAAGCCACGGCUAACUACGUG
rnacentral:rRNA from 1 species